CAGCCGCCGCGGUAAUACGUAGGGUGCGAGCGUUAAUCGGAAUUACUGGGCGUAAAGCGUGCGCAGGCGGUUUGUUAAGACAGAUGUGAAAUCCCCGGGCUUAACCUGGGAACUGCAUUUGUGACUGGCCGGCUAGAGUAUGGCAGAGGGAGGUGGAAUUCCACGUGUAGCAGUGAAAUGCGUAGAUAUGUGGAGGAACACCGAUGGCGAAGGCAGCCUCCUGGGCUAAUACUGACGCUCAUGCACGAAAGCGUGGGGAGCAAACAGGAUUAGAUACCCCCGUAGUCCCUGUCUCUUAUAC
rnacentral:rRNA from 1 species